ensembl:lncRNA
GCGGCAGGUGGAUGGGAAGGCUUUGUGGUUGCAUAUAAGGAGAAGUUCAACUUAGUCAUCAGUGUGCUUCCUCCCCGAACUCUUUGUGACUUUGUGGACUCUGCAGCGCCUCUUACGAGAAUAAAACCUGUUAAAAUCUUUCGAGUUUUCACAAUCUUUAUUUCUACGAUCUCUCCAGGACAAAAGGGAAAUUUCUACUUUUUAAAUUUUCUCCGACAUCACCACACUGUCUCUGGAAGCACAUUUGUGUGGUGGCCCAUAAUGGGGGUGCCUGGGACCUUUUUGUUGCUCUGUAUUUUGCUGAUUUUGAGACGAAGCACUUCAGCUGGUUCACCGGUGAGGCUGGUCAACUCUGAC